rnacentral:rRNA from 1 species
AAGAGAGGAGCUUGCUCUUCUUGGAUGAGUUGCGAACGGGUGAGUAACGCGUAGGUAACCUGCCUUGUAGCGGGGGAUAACUAUUGGAAACGAUAGCUAAUACCGCAUAACAAUGGAUGACACAUGUCAUUUAUUUGAAAGGGGCAAUUGCUCCACUACAAGAUGGACCUGCGUUGUAUUAGCUAGUAGGUGAGGUAAUGGCUCACCUAGGCGACGAUACAUAGCCGACCUGAGAGGGUGAUCGGCCACACUGGGACUGAGACACGGCCCAGACUCCUACGGGAGGCAGCAGUAGGGAAUCUUCGGCAAUGGGGGCAACCCUGACCGAGCAACGCCGCGUGAGUGAAGAAGGUUUUCGGAUCGUAAAGCUCUGUUGUAAGUCAAGAACGGGUGUGAGAGUGGAAAGUUCACACUGUGACGGUAGCUUACCAGAAAGGGACGGCUAACUACGUGCCAGCAGCCGCGGUAAUACGUAGGUCCCGAGCGUUGUCCGGAUUUAUUGGGCGUAAAGCGAGCGCAGGCGGUUUGAUAAGUCUGAAGUUAAAGGCUGUGGCUCAACCAUAGUUCGCUUUGGAAACUGUCAAACUUGAGUGCAGAAGGGGAGAGUGGAAUUCCAUGUGUAGCGGUGAAAUGCGUAGAUAUAUGGAGGAACACCGGUGGCGAAAGCGGCUCUCUGGUCUGUAACUGACGCUGAGGCUCGAAAGCGUGGGGAGCGAACAGGAUUAGAUACCCUGGUAGUCCACGCCGUAAACGAUGAGUGCUAGGUGUUGGAUCCUUUCCGGGAUUCAGUGCCGCAGCUAACGCAUUAAGCACUCCGCCUGGGGAGUACGACCGCAAGGUUGAAACUCAAAGGAAUUGACGGGGGCCCGCACAAGCGGUGGAGCAUGUGGUUUAAUUCGAAGCAACGCGAAGAACCUUACCAGGUCUUGACAUCCCGAUGCUAUUUCUAGAGAUAGAAAGUUACUUCGGUACAUCGGUGACAGGUGGUGCAUGGUUGUCGUCAGCUCGUGUCGUGAGAUGUUGGGUUAAGUCCCGCAACGAGCGCAACCCCUAUUGUUAGUUGCCAUCAUUCAGUUGGGCACUCUAGCGAGACUGCCGGUAAUAAACCGGAGGAAGGUGGGGAUGACGUCAAAUCAUCAUGCCCCUUAUGACCUGGGCUACACACGUGCUACAAUGGUUGGUACAACGAGUUGCGAGUCGGUGACGGCGAGCUAAUCUCUUAAAGCCAAUCUCAGUUCGGAUUGUAGGCUGCAACUCGCCUACAUGAAGUCGGAAUCGCUAGUAAUCGCGGAUCAGCACGCCGCGGUGAAUACGUUCCCGGGCCUUGUACACACCGCCCGUCACACCACGAGAGUUUGUAACACCCGAAGUCGGUGAGGUAACCUUGUUGGAGCCAGCCGC